rnacentral:rRNA from 1 species
CCCUUAGAUGUUCUGGGCGGCCCGCGCACUACAUUGGCACUCUCAAUAAGUUCCUAGAUCUAAAACUUUGGGGUAUUCUAUUAAGUGGUGUCGUGACUGGGAUUAACCCUUGCAAUUAUUGGUUACGAACGAGGAAUUCCUUGUAAUCGCGGUUUAUCAGCCCGCGUUGAAUGCGUCCCUGCCCUUUGUACACACCGCCCGUCGCUCCUACCGAUGAAUCGUCCGGUGAAGUUCAUGGAGUGGUGGUUGUUCCAGCUGCUGUCGAAGUGAAAUGGACCUCACGAUUUAGAGGAAGGAGAAGUCGGAACA